rnacentral:rRNA from 1 species
CGAGAUUCCCCCAGUAGCGGCGAGCGAACGGGGAGCAGCCCAGAGCCUGAAUCAGUGUGUGUGUUAGUGGAAGCGUCUGGAAAGGCGCGCGAUACAGGGUGACAGCCCCGUACACAAAAAUGCACAUACUGUGAGCUCGAUGAGUAGGGCGGGACACGUGGUAUCCUGUCUGAAUAUGGGGGGACCAUCCUCCAAGGCUAAAUACUCCUGACUGACCGAUAGUGAACCAGUACCGUGAGGGAAAGGCGAAAAGAACCCCGGCGAGGGGAGUGAAAAAGAACCUGAAACCGUGUACGUACAAGCAGUGGGAGCACGCUU